GCUGGACGUAAAGAAAGAAGUGAUGCACUCAAUUCUGCAAUAGAUAAAAUGACCAAGAAGACCAGGGACUUGCGUAGACAGCUCCGCAAAGCUGUCAUGGACCACGUUUCAGAUUCUUUCCUGGAAACCAAUGUUCCACUUUUGGUAUUGAUUGAAGCUGCAAAGAAUGGAAAUGAGAAAGAAGUUAAGGAGUAUGCCCAAGUUUUCCGUGAACAUGCCAACAAAUUGAUUGAGGUAAGUGAAUUAGCAGUUUCAUUGACUUGUAGGCAACUUGGUGAAGUGUGGUGAGUUUUAAUCACAUUAUUUAAUCAGUUAAAAUUUGUA
rnacentral:sRNA from 1 species